ACGGAGGGUGCGAGCGUUAAUCGGAAUUACUGGGCGUAAAGGGCGCGUAGGCGGUUCGGUAAGUCAGAUGUGAAAGCCCAGGGCUUAACCUUGGAAUUGCAUUUGAUACUGUCGAGCUCGAGUGUGGUAGAGGAAAGCGGAAUUCCGGGUGUAGCGGUGAAAUGCGUAGAUAUCCGGAGGAACAUCAGUGGCGAAGGCGGCUUUCUGGACCAACACUGACGCUGAGGCGCGAAAGCGUGGGGAGCAAACAGG
rnacentral:rRNA from 1 species